GACAAACUUUGCUUGUUUAAAACAUUUCACCUUUGCACAACAUACUUGCAACUCAGUGAGUUUUAAAACCAAUCUCUUUCCCUUUAAUUUUAUUUUCCCCUCGCCUAUUCUCUUUGCAUACAAAAGCAGCCCCUCGCCCACACUCAACACCAGAACACACGUUGUCACUAGAAAACAGGUGUAUACGGUAAAAAUCGGAUAUAUGCUAAACCGGUAAGACCGGAGACCGAGGGAAGAAAGAAACAAGCACGAGCAUGAAGACUUUCUUUCAGGACCGGAGGAGUGCUUGAACCAAAGAAAGCGAAGGACAUCGUUUGGUCUGGUUUCUCCAUAACCGAGUUGGUCAUGGCCGUUGGCCCGGUUGAUCGUGGCCGUUGACCCGGUUGAUCGUGGCCGUUGGGCAGGUUGAUCGUGGCCGUUGGUCCGGGUGAUCGUGGUCGUUGGUCCGGGUGAUCCGUUACACAAUUGUCACGCGUCAAGACCGUUCUGCCACAUUGUACUGUCAAUCGUACGGGUGUCAGAUCGUACGACCAACCUUAUCCUUUUAGGGUUUUUCUUUAUUCAAAAAGGUUUUAUGUUGUAUGAGGCCUAUAAAGCAAAACUAUAAAUAGGGGUCAUUACCCUACUUUUAGGGGUUGGCUUCUUGAGUUCUAGAGCAUUGUAAUAGCAAAAUAUAUAAAAUCUCCCUCUCUCAUUCUCUGA